rnacentral:tRNA from 1 species
GGUGGCUCAAUGGUAGAGUGCUUGCCUAGCAUGCAUGAGACCCUGGGUUCCAUUCCUCAGCACCA